AUGGGGAGCAGUGAUCAUUAGCUCUGUUUGUGGGUAUUUUCCUAUCUAAAUAAAUUAUCUUAGUUUCAAACCUGAUUAGUGAUGAGUAACUACUUUAUUCUUAUAACAAGAAAUUAAAAAAAAAAACUUUUGCUGAUGGAGAUGAUUUGGGUUUCAUUAAGUGUGACAAUUGUGAAUUGGCCUACCAGUCUAUCUCGCAAUCUAUUGG
rnacentral:lncRNA from 1 species